UGAGGAAUAUUGGUCAAUGGGCGAGAGCCUGAACCAGCCAAGUAGCGUGAAGGAUGAAGGCCCUAUGGGUUGUAAACUUCUUUUAUAUGGGAAUAAAGUGUUCCACGUGUGGAUUUUUGUAUGUACCAUAUGAAUAAGGAUCGGCU
rnacentral:rRNA from 1 species